rnacentral:rRNA from 1 species
AUUGAACGCUGGCGGCAGGCCUAACACAUGCAAGUCGAACGAUUGUCGGACGGGUGAGUAAUGUCUGGGAACCUGCCCGAUGGAGGGGGAUAACUACUGGCAACGGUAGCUCAUACCUCAUACCAUCGGAUGUGCCCAGAUGGGCUUGGCUAGUAGGUGGGGUAACGGCUCACCUAGCCGACGAUCCCUAGCUGGUCUGAGAGGAGGACCAGCCACACUGGAACUGAUACACGGGCCAGAAGCCUACGGUAGGAAGCAGGGGGGAAUAGUGCACAAUGGGCGCAAGCCUGAUGCAGCCAUGCCGCGUGUAUGAAGAAGGCCUUCGGGUUUUAAAGUACUUUCAGCGAGGAGGCGUUACUCGCAGAAGAAGCACCGGCUAACUCCGUGCCAGCAGCCGCGGUAAUAC